UACGUAGGUGGCAAGCGUUGUUCGGAAUUAUUGGGCGUAAAGGGCUCGUAGGUGGCCAACUAAGUCAGACGUGAAAUCCCUCGGCUUAACCGGGGAACUGCGUCUGAUACUGGAUGGCUUGAGUUUGGGAGAGGGAUGCGGAAUUCCAGGUGUAGCGGUGAAAUGCGUAGAUAUCUGGAGGAACACCGGUGGCGAAGGCGGCAUCCUGGACCAACACUGACACUGAGGAGCGAAAGCCAGGGGAGCAAACGGG
rnacentral:rRNA from 1 species